rnacentral:rRNA from 1 species
GGAAUCUUGCACAAUGGGCGAAAGCCUGAUGCAGCAACGCCGCGUGCGGGAUGAAGGCCUUAGGGUUGUAAACCGCUUUCAGCAGGGAAGAAAAUGACGGUACCUGCAGAAGAAGGUGCGGCCAACUACGUGCCAGCAGCCGCGGUGACACGUAGGCACCAAGCGUUGUCCGGAUUUAUUGGGCGUAAAGAGCUCGUAGGCGGUUCAGUAAGUCGGGUGUGAAAACUCUGGGCUCAACCCAGAGACGCCACUCGAUACUGCUGUGACUAGAGUGCGGUAGGGGAGCGGGGAAUUCCUGGUGUAGCGGUGAAAUGCGCAGAUAUCAGGAGGAACACCAGUGGCGAAGGCGCCGCUCUGGGCCGUAACUGACGCUGAGGAGCGAAAGCAUGGGUAGCAAACAGGAUUAGAAACCCCGGUAGUCC